UUAGGGAUGGUAGGAGAGCGUUCUAUGUGUGGUGAAGGUGUACCGUGAGGAGCGCUGGAAUGCAUAGAAGUGAGAAUGCCGGUAUGAGUAGCGCAAGACAGGUGAGAAUCCUGUCCACCGUAAGACUAAGGUUUCCAGGGGAAGGCUCGUCCGCCCUGGGUUAGUCGGGACCUAAGGAGAGACCGAACGGUGUAUCCGAUGGGCAACAGGUUGAUAGUCCUGUACUAGAGUAUAGAGUGACGGAGGGACGCAGAAGGCUACCUCAACCAGACGAUUGGAAGUGUCUGGCCAAGCAGUGAGGUGUGAUAGGAGUCAAAUGCUUAUAUCUUUAACAUUGAGCUGUGAUGGGGAGCGAAGUUUAGUAGCGAAGUGAGUGAUGUCAGGCUGCCAAGAAAAUCUUCUAGCAUUAAUCUAUACUCUACCCGUACCGCAAACCGACACAGGUAGUCGAGGCGAGUAGCCUCAGGUGAGCGAGAGAACUCUCGUUAAGGAACUCGGCAAAAUGGCCCCGUAACUUCGGGAGAAGGGGCGCUGACUUAAGGUCAGCCGCAGUGAAUAGGCCCAAGCAACUGUUUAUCAAAAACACAGCUCUCUGCGAAAUCGUAAGAUGAAGUAUAGGGGGUGACGCCUGCCCGGUGCUGGAAGGUUAAGAGGAGCGCUUAGCGUCAGCGAAGGUGUGAAUUGAAGCCCCAGUAAACGGCGGCCGUAACUAUAACGGUCCUAAGGUAGCGAAAUUCCUUGUCGGGUAAGUUCCGACCCGCACGAAAGGCGUAAUGAUUUGGGCACUGUCUCAACGAGAGACUCGGUGAAAUUUUAGUACCUGUGAAGAUGCAGGUUACCCGCGACAGGACGGAAAGACCCCAUGGAGCUUUACUGCAGUUUGAUAUUGAGUAUCUGUACCACAUGUACAGGAUAGGUAGGAGCCAUAGAGUUCGGGACGCCAGUUUCGAAUGAGGCGUUGUUGGGAUACUACCCUUGUGUUAUGGCUACUCUAACCCACUAGGCUAAACGUCUAGGGAGACAGUGUCUGACGGGCAGUUUGACUGGGGCGGUCGCCUCCUAAAAGGUAACGGAGG
rnacentral:rRNA from 1 species